UACGUAGGGCGCAAGCGUUGUCCGGAUUUAUUGGGCGUAAAGAGCUCGUAGGCGGUUUGUCGCGUCUUCCGUGAAAACUGGGGGCUUAACUUCCAGCUUGCGGUGGAUACGGGCUGACUGGAGUGCGGCAGGGGAGACUGGAAUUCCCGGUGUAGCGGUGAAAUGCGCAGAUAUCAGGAGGAACACCGGUGGCGAAGGCGGGUCUCUGGGCCGUUACUGACGCUGAGGAGCGAAAGCGUGGGGAGCGAACAGG
rnacentral:rRNA from 1 species